GGCGCAUUCUUUUGAUUAACGCGCCGACAACCGUGCGAGUAGUCUCCGUCCGAUCAGCGAGGAGAGGGAGGAGGCGACGGCCUUCUCUCGCGGUUUAGUUAACAACAUGCUCGCUCGACCACUUACGAAUCAUCGACCUUCGAUCGCAUUGACUUUGUCGUCCUGAUGGCGGCCGACGAGGCAACUUCACAGUCCAACCGAGAAUCCAAUUCAGAUAGUUCUAUGUGUUGUGGAAUGGUUUCACAUUAUCAGCAACAAAUCGACGUAUAUGAAAAUUGAGAGUUACUGAAAAGCGAAUGAAGAAGCAACAUAACGAUGGGGGUCAGCACCGAACAAGGUUUGCUCUUGAUGGUUAACACAAACGUUUCGUUAAACCUCGAUGCAGUAUGUUUGACUGGGUUCAUCAAUGACGGCUUUCGCUAGCGAUUAGAGGCAAAUGGUUCAGUCAGAGCAUCCGACGAUUACUCUUUACUGAUGUUUCCAUAUUGAUUUAGCUGCCUUUUGUACACGUAAAAUAGAGGUAGUGUUACAAUACAGUUAACUCAGUAUUGCUGAAAUAAAUUAUCUAUACCGACUCUAUGAAACGAAUUGUUCUUUUUUUAAAUACUGAAAUAGUACGAUCACACACUCACACACAUACACAUAACGUAUUAUCGUUAUCGAUCCAUUUAUUAUAGAUUAAUAGUUAUAAAUUUAUUCCAAGCUGGCUUCACUUUAAUUGAUUGGAAAAUUAAAAAAUUUUUGUGCAAUUUAUCGCGUACAUUUAUUAUAAAAUUCCUUUAUUUAUAUACAGUAAUAGAAAAGAGGCUUACUUUAAAUCUUUCCAUUUUUAAAAUAUCAAAAUUUUAAUAAAUUCAAUCAUCUCAAAUUGUUCUUUAUUGUACAUAUUUUUCAAUAUUGUUAUCGAUUUAUGUUAUUAAUAUCGAUUUUAUAUAUACAGAAGUUCUAUCGCUCUCUGGAAUAGCAAUACAACACAUUUGCAAAUAUGUAUGUAUAAAUUAUAAUGACUUCCGAAAUUAUACAUUACAACGAUAUGAAUAUUUAGUUUUAUUUUAUUAGUUGAUGCAUUUCUAUUUCAUAAACGGGACAUAAGCACGCGAAUUUAUAAUUUUUUGCACAAUCAGCAUAAAAUAUUUAAUGCAGCAGGGCAAUGUCAAUGGGGUUAUGCUGACUAUAAUACUAGAACCAAUGAUGAAAGCAGUUAUAAAGAAUCUCUAAGCUCUCUCAAGUAUAUAAAGUUUAAAUCUUCUCAAGACGAAAUCCAGCAAAUCCGCCGGCAUAAGUAGGAUUUAUGUUAGACAGGAGAAACGAUGUCUGACACGGUACCAAAGUAGGACAACCUAAACACAUAGCCUAACAACGGAACGAAAGAAUCUUUAUUGUUUUGCAAAAUCUGCA